AGCUGUCUGAAUCCGUGUCGAGUUUUCGUCAAACACCAGGUCACCAAGACUGAUGAGAACCCUAAGAUAAGUGAAGUA
rfam:Schistosoma haematobium scaffold332_9, whole genome shotgun sequence.